rnacentral:piRNA from 1 species
UGUCGAAAAAAAAAUAUUUUU